rnacentral:rRNA from 1 species
GUGGGGAAUAUUGGACAAUGGGGGGAACCCUGAUCCAGCCAUGCCGCGUGUGUGAAGAAGGCCUUUUGGUUGUAAAGCACUUUAAGCGAGGAGGAGGCUACCGAGAUUAAUACUCUUGGAUAGUGGACGUUACUCGCAGAAUAAGCACCGGCUAACUCUGUGCCAGCAGCCGCGGUAAUACAGAGGGUGCAAGCGUUAAUCGGAUUUACUGGGCGUAAAGCGCGCGUAGGUGGCCAAUUAAGUCAAAUGUGAAAUCCCCGAGCUUAACUUGAGAAUUGCAUUCGAUACUGGUUGGCUAGAGUAUGGGAGAGGAUGGUAGAAUUCCAGGUGUAGCGGUGAAAUGCGUAGAGAUCUGGAGGAAUACCGAUGGCGAAGGCAGCCAUCUGGCCUAAUACUGACACUGAGGUGCGAAAGCAUGGGGAGCAAACAGGAUUAGAUACCCCUGUAGUCC